rnacentral:rRNA from 1 species
CCUACGGGAGACAGCAGUGAGGAAUAUUGGUCAAUGGGCGCGAGCCUGAACCAGCGAAGUAGCGUGAAGGAUGACUGCCCUACGGGUUGUAAACUUCUUUUAUAAAGGAAUAAAGUGAGGCACGUGUGCCUUUUUGUAUGUACUUUAUGAAUAAGGAUCGGCUAACUCCGUGCCAGCAGCCGCGGUAAUACGGAGGAUCCGAGCGUUAUCCGGAGUUAUAGGGUUUAAAGGGAGCGUAGAUGGGUUGUUAAGUCAGUUGUGAAAGUUUGCGGCCCAACCGUAAAAUUGCAAUUGAUACUGGCAGCCUUGAGUACAGUAGAGGUAGGCGGAAUUCGUGGUGUAGCGGUGAAAUGCUUAGAUAUCACGAAGAACACCGAUUGCGAAGGCAGCCUACUAAACUGCCACUGACAUUGAGGCUCGAAAGUGUGGGUAUCAAACAGGAUUAGAUACCCGUGUAGUC